UGAGACAAAAUAAAAAGAUUUACACAUCACAAGAAUUACCUCUGAAAUAACUUUUUUUCCAAGAACUUGUCAUAUGUGGCUGCAUAACGAAAUUUCUUGCACACGCAUCGAAAGUUAAUGAUAUCCUCAAUAGUGAUAACAUUAUAGCUGAGAAUGAUGGCUGUUAUCUCCUCUGUACACGAAAUAUGUUGAUUACAAAAAGCAUAAAUAUGUGUGUUCGAUCUACCUUAGAGAUGUUUUCCACACUGCAGACGUUCUGUUCUUUAUUAUUAAAUUUGACCUCAAAUUUUAAAGCUUUAUUGCUUGUUUUAACUAAGAUACAGGUAUAAGGAUUUGUCACGGCAUGCGCAGAAAAUGUAAUUUUGAACUAGCUAAUUUACCGUUUCUUCGUAUGCGCUUGAAAGAACGUGUUUAAAACUCCAGUGCUGUGAAUUGUCAAAUUUUCUUGAUAAGAGAGAAAAAGGAAGAAAGAGAUUUACAUUUUUCAUUCUUCAAAUCUUUACAGAUAAAAUUCUCAGUUAAAAUAAAAUCGUCGACUUACAAUACAAAUAUUUAAUAAUUGA